UCCCUGGUGGUCUAGUGGUUAGGACUCAGCGCUUUUACCGCUGUGGCCUGGGUUCAAUUUCCAGUCUGGGAA
rnacentral:tRNA from 2 species